rnacentral:rRNA from 1 species
GAUUUCUGGUGUGGUGCGCUGAGUCCGCCCGUAAGGGUGAGUGCUUGUGCGUGCCUGCCAUAUUUCCCGAAUCGGUCAGUGUUCUGCCCUUCACUGGGUUGGAGCAUUGGUCUCGGGAUCAUUUACUUUGAAAAAAUUAGAGUGUUUAAAGCAGGCAUAUCGCUAUGAAUACAUUAGCAUGGAAUAAUAAGAUAGGACUUUGGUUCUAUUUUGUUGGUUUCUAGGACUGAAGUAAUGAUUGAUAGGGACAGUUGGGGGUGCUAGUAUUUAACGGCCAGAGGUGAAAUUCUUGGAUUCGUUAAAGACUAACUUAUGCGAAAGCAUU